rnacentral:rRNA from 1 species
UACGUAGGGGGCAAGCGUUGCCCGGAAUUAUUGGGCGUAAAGGGCGCGUAGGCGGCACGGCAAGUCAGGAGUGAAAGCCCUGGGCUCAACCCGGGAACUGCUUUUGAAACUGCCGAGCUAGAGUGCGGAAGGGGCAACUGGAAUUCCCAGUGUAGCGGUGAAAUGCGUAGAUAUUGGGAAGAACGCCUGAGGCGAAGGCGGGUUGCUGGGCCGACACUGACGCUGAGGCGCGAAAGCCAGGGGAGCGAACGGG